GAAACCGGGUGAUCUAGCCAUGGGCAGGUUGAAGGUUGAGUAACAUCAACUGGAGGACCGAACCGACUAAUGUUGAAAAAUUAGCGGAUGACUUGUGGCUAGGGGUGAAAGGCCAAUCAAACUCGGAGAUAGCUGGUUCUCCCCGAAAGCUAUUUAGGUAGCGCCUCGGACGAAUACUACUGGGGGUAGAGCACUGUUAAGGCUAGGGGGUCAUCCCGACUUACCAACCCUUUGCAAACUCCGAAUACCAGUAAGUACUAUCCGGGAGACACACGGCGGGUGCUAACGUCCGUCGUGGAGAGGGAAACAACCCAGACCGCCAGCUAAGGUCCCAAAGUAUUGCUAAGUGGGAAACGAUGUGGGAAGGCUCAGACAGCUAGGAUGUUGGCUUAGAAGCAGCCAUCAUUUAAAGAAAGCGUAAUAGCUCACUAGUCGAGUCGGCCUGCGCGGAAGAUGUAACGGGGCUAAGCAAUACACCGAAGCUGCGGCAAUAUCUUUUAGAUAUUGGGUAGGGGAGCGUUCUGUAAGCCGUUGAAGGUGAAUCGUAAGGUUUGCUGGAGGUAUCAGAAGUGCGAAUGCUGACAUGAGUAACGACAAAGGGGGUGAAAAACCUCCUCGCCGGAAGACCAAGGGUUCCUGUCCAACGUUAAUCGGGGCAGGGUGAGUCGACCCCUAAGGUGAGGCCGAAAGGCGUAAUCGAUGGGAAACGGGUUAAUAUUCCCGUACUUCUGACUAUUGCGAUGGGGGGACGGAGAAGGCUAGGUGGGCCAGGCGACGGUUGUCCUGGUUCAAGUGCGUAGGCUUGAGAGUUAGGUAAAUCCGGCUCUCUCUAAGGCUGAGACACGACGUCGAGCUGCUACGGCAGUGAAGUCAUUGAUGCCAUGCUUCCAGGAAA
rnacentral:rRNA from 1 species